rnacentral:rRNA from 1 species
CCUACGGGAGGCAGCAGUAGGGAAUCUUCCGCAAUGGACGAAAGUCUGACGGAGCAACGCCGCGUGAACGAUGAAGGCCUUCGGGUCGUAAAGUUCUGUUGUUAGGGAAGAACAAGUGCUAGUUGAAUAAGCUGGCACCUUGACGGUACCUAACCAGAAAGCCACGGCUAACUACGUGCCAGCAGCCGCGGUAAUACGUAGGUGGCAAGCGUUGUCCGGAAUUAUUGGGCGUAAAGCGCGCGCAGGCGGUUUCUUAAGUCUGAUGUGAAAGCCCCCGGCUCAACCGGGGAGGGUCAUUGGAAACUGGGAAACUUGAGUGCAGAAGAGGAAAGUGGAAUUCCAAGUGUAGCGGUGAAAUGCGUAGAGAUUUGGAGGAACACCAGUGGCGAAGGCGACUUUCUGGUCUGUAACUGACGCUGAGGCGCGAAAGCGUGGGGAGCAAACAGGAUUAGAUACCCUGGUAGUCCACGCUGUAAACGAUGAGUGCUAAGUGUUAGAGGGUUUCCGCCUUUAGUGCUGAAGUUAACGCAUUAAGCACUCCGCCUGGGGGUACGUCGCAAGCUGAAACUCAAAUGAAUUGACGG